GAUGAACGCUGGCGGCGUGCCUAAUACAUGCAAGUCGAGCGAACAGACGAGGAGCUUGCUCCUCUGACGUUAGCGGCGGACGGGUGAGUAACACGUGGAUAACCUACCUAUAAGACUGGGAUAACUUCGGGAAACCGGAGCUAAUACCGGAUAAUAUAUUGAACCGCAUGGUUCAAUAGUGAAAGACGGUUUUGCUGUCACUUAUAGAUGGAUCCGCGCCGCAUUAGCUAGUUGGUAAGGUAACGGCUUACCAAGGCAACGAUGCGUAGCCGACCUGAGAGGGUGGUCGGCCACACUGGAACUGAGACACGGUCCAGACUCCUACGGGAGGCAGCAGUAGGGAAUCUUCCGCAGUGGGCGAAAGCCUGACGGAGCGACGCCGCGUGUGUGAUGAAGGUCUUCGGAUCGUAAAACUCUGUUAUUAGUGAAGAACAACUGUGUAAGUAACUAUGCACGUCUUGACGGUACCUGAUCAGAAAGCCCCGGCUAACUACGUG
rnacentral:rRNA from 1 species